UGCAGUCGAGCGGAACGAGUUAUCUGACCCUUCGGGUGACGAUAACGGCGUCGAGCGGCGGACGGGUGAGUAAUGCCUGGGAAAUUGCCCUGAUGUGGGGGAUAACCAUUGGAAACGAUGGCUAAUACCGCAUAAUAGCUUCGGCUCAAAGAGGGGGACCUUCGGGCCUCUCGCGUCAGGAUAUGCCCAGGUGGGAUUAGCUAGUUGGUGAGGUAAGGGCUCACCAAGGCGACGAUCCCUAGCUGGUCUGAGAGGAUGAUCAGCCACACUGGAACUGAGACACGGUCCAGACUCCUACGGGAGGCAGCAGUGGGGAAUAUUGCACAAUGGGCGCAAGCCUGAUGCAGCCAUGCCGCGUGUAUGAAGAAGGCCUUCGGGUUGUAAAGUACUUUCAGCAGUGAGGAAGGUGGGUAUGUUAAUAGCAUACUCAUUUGACGUUAGCUGCGGAAGAAGCACCGGCUAACUCCGUGCCAGCAGCCGCGGUAAUACGGAGGGUGCGAGCGUUAAUCGGAAUUACUGGGCGUAAAGCGCAUGCAGGUGGAUGAUUAAGUCAGAUGUGAAAGCCCGGGGCUCAACCUCGGAAUAGCAUUUGAAACUGGUCAUCUAGAGUACUGUAGAGGGGGGUAGAAUUUCAGGUGUAGCGGUGAAAUGCGUA
rnacentral:rRNA from 1 species